UACGAAGGGUGCAAGCGUUGUUCGGAAUCAUUGGGCGUAAAGCGCGCGCAGGCGGGUUAGUAAGUCAGGUGUGAAAUCUCGGAGCUCAACUCCGAAACUGCGCUUGAAACUAUUAGCCUAGAGUAUCGGAGGGGACAGGGGAAUUUCACGUGUAGGGGUAAAAUCCGUAGAGAUGUGAAGGAACACCGGAGGCGAAGGCGCCUGUCUGGACGAUAACUGACGCUGAGGCGCGAAAGCGUGGGGAGCAAACAGG
rnacentral:rRNA from 1 species